rnacentral:snRNA from 1 species
UUGCCAGCUUCGGCAGCACAUGUACAAAAAUUGGGACGAUACAGAGGUUAGUGUGGCCCCUGUGCAAGGACGACACGCAAAUUUGUGAAGCGUUCCACGUUUUU